rnacentral:rRNA from 1 species
AGAGUUGAUCGAUCGGCUCGAGGACGACGCUGGCGGCGUGCCUAACACAUGCAAGUCGAGCGAGGAGAUUCCUUCGGGAUGAUCCUAGCGGCGGACGGGUGAGUAACACGUGGGCAACCUGCCUCAUAGAGAGGAAUAGCCUUCCGAAAGGGAGAUUAAUACCUCAUAACAUUGCAGUUUCGCAUGGAACAGCAAUUAAAGGAGUAAUCCGCUAUGAGAUGGGCCCGCGGCGCAUUAGCUAGUUGGUGAGGUAACGGCUCACCAAGGCGACGAUGCGUAGCCGACCUGAGAGGGUGAUCGGCCACAUUGGGACUGAGACACGGCCCAGACUCCUACGGGAGGCAGCAGUGGGGAAUAUUGCACAAUGGGGGAAACCCUGAUGCAGCCAACGCCGCGUGAGUGAUGACGGCCUUCGGGUUGUAAAGCUCUGUCUUCAGGGACGAUAAUGACGGUACCUGAGGAGGAAGCCACGGCUAACUACGUGCCAGCAGCUGC